ACAAAAGGGAAAAAAGGCGUGGCGGGCGCAAGCUCGUUUCACGUUCUGCUCCCGAAUCCUGUAUUCACCCCAAGUUCCUUUAAAAUUUCAAAUAAAAAACUUUGCAAAAAGACCACUUUUUAAAGUGGCAUCUAAUUGCACAAAGCGA
rnacentral:misc_RNA from 1 species